rnacentral:piRNA from 1 species
CGGAGGAAAAACUCAGCGAGCCGG